ACAUUGACCCUUCGGGUGAUUUGUUGGGCGUCGAGCGGCGGACGGGUGAGUAAUGCCUGGNAAAUUGCCCUGAUGUGGGGGAUAACCAUUGGAAACGAUGGCUAAUACCGCAUAAUGUCUACGGACCANAGAGGGGGACCUUCGGGCCUCUCGCUUCAGGAUAUGCCCAGGUGGNAUUAGCUAGUUGGUGAGGUAAUGGCUCACCAAGGCGACGAUCCCUAGCUGGUCUGAGAGGAUGAUCAGCCACACUGGAACUGAGACACGGUCCAGACUCCUACGGGAGGCAGCAGUGGGGAAUAUUGCACAAUGGGCGCAAGCCUGAUGCANCCNUGCCGCGUGUAUGAAGAAGGCCUUCGGGUUGUAAAGUACUUUCAGUCGUGAGGAAGGCGUUGNAGUUAAUANCUUCAUCGUUUGACGUUAGCGA
rnacentral:rRNA from 1 species